rnacentral:rRNA from 1 species
UACGUAGGGGGCUAGCGUUGUCCGGAAUCAUUGGGCGUAAAGAGCGCGUAGGCGGCUUGUCACGUCGGGUGUGAAAGACCGGGGCUUAACUCCGGUUCUGCAUUCGAUACGGGCUAGCUAGAGUGUGGUAGGGGAGAUCGGAAUUCCUGGUGUAGCGGUGAAAUGCGCAGAUAUCAGGAGGAACACCGGUGGCGAAGGCGGAUCUCUGGGCCAUUACUGACGCUGAGGAGCGAAAGCGUGGGGAGCGAACAGG